UACGUAGGGGGCGAGCGUUGUCCGGAUUUAUUGGGCGUAAAGAGCUCGUAGGCGGUUUGGUAAGUCGGGUGUGAAAUCUCCACGCUCAACGUGGAGGGGCCAUUCGAUACUGCCAUGACUUGAGUCCGGUAGAGGAGUGUGGAAUUCCCGGUGUAGCGGUGAAAUGCACAGAGAUCGGGAGGAACACCAGUAGCGAAGGCGGCACUCUGGGCCGGUACUGACGCUGAGGAGCGAAAGCGUGGGGAGCGAACAGG
rnacentral:rRNA from 1 species